AAGUCGUAACAAGGUAUCCGUAGGUGAACCUGCGGAUGGAUCAUUACCAAUUUAACUUAUUAUAAGUUUGAGUUACCCGAUCGCUUUGCGAGAGGGUACCCAACUUCUAAUGUAAAUGUUGAACUAGAUCAUAUUGGUGUGGGAUUGUUUGUGAAUAUUUUAUUCAUAGGCAAACCCCACGCUGAUACCCUUUUUCAAAUAUAUACAACUCGUAUAUACUACCAAACAAAACAAAAAAUAAAUCUUAAUAGGACUUAUAAACGAGCUGAGUGAGUAAAAUCCUCGGCUUCAAAAUUUAUAACUAUUACAACUUUCAGCAAUGGAUCUCUAGGCUCUC
rnacentral:misc_RNA from 1 species